UACGUAGGGGGCUAGCGUUGUCCGGAAUCAUUGGGCGUAAAGAGCGUGUAGGCGGCCAGGUAGGUCGGUUGUGAAAACUGGAGGCUCAACCUUCAGAGGUCGACCGAAACCAUCUGGCUAGAGUCCGGGAGAGGAGAGUGGAAUUCCUGGUGUAGCGGUGAAAUGCGCAGAUAUCAGGAGGAACACCGGUGGCGAAGGCGGGUCUCUGGGCCGUAACUGACGCUGAGGAGCGAAAGCGUGGGGAGCGAACAGG
rnacentral:rRNA from 1 species